CUACGUUCACUCAACGGGGAAGCUAAGGAACUACCCAUCAGAAUAAAUAGCGAAAAAAGCUUCAAAGUUGUUUGGCGAUUCAACAUGGACGUUGUGUGAGAUGAGAAAUAAAACUAAGAGCACGCGUUCUAGAUCAUUAGGCAAAACAAAUCGUUUUCAUGGGACAAUUAGCUACGGCAUACAGAUCAUAAAAACUAAUAGGUUUAAAAAUAUAUAUACCGAGAAUAGUAUGAAAAGUACACGGCGUUUCAUUUGCACUAUUUCUGCCAUUUCCUUUUAAAAUGUAGUUUCCCGAAUAAAAUUCAAUUUAUCAACGAACCGUUUUAAUUCUAACAAAUUGGUUAUUUUUAUAAGCCAAACCAUAUUCUGGCAGCAAUUAUUUUCAUCUACAAAUGCCGCGGGCAUCCACUCCACUCCAAUCCAUUCCAAUGGUCAACAGCCACUCGGACGUACAAAUAUCCGCAGACAGAUAUAGAAAGUUACCCGCCAAAGGGCCAUUCAAGCCGUCAUUCGGGCCAGCAGAGGUAAACAGCCAACGCAAAAGCCCUUGUGCAGCGUUGAUAAAGCUGAACUAUGACCUAUGCCUCGGACAUUCGGAUUUUCGGAAAACGGAAAAGGGAUUCUUUGGAAAAACCAAGGACUUUUGCGAGGAAAUACUUCUAUUUGAGUGCGGUACUUUAGUGUGAUUGCUUGCUGAAGGUACUUGUAGAUUUAAAGGGUAUAUUGGACUAUCUGGCCAUGUCCGUAAAACUAAGCAAGCAUUUUAGAUUUCUAUAUAGAAAGUUAAGAAGAUGAAAAACGCAGCGCUCUCUUUUUUAAAUUCUGCAACUAAAAGGCAAUUAAAAACUAAAUUUCUCUCAAAGCAUAACUAUAGUGUCAUUUCUACAAAAUUAAAUAAAAUAUUUAUAAAUAAAACAAAAUAUUCCAUUUCGUUAUUCAGGCUUUUUCAUUUUAAUUGCAGCUAAGCUUAAUAGUUUAUUUCUGAAAUUUUUCAAAUAUUUCCACAAAAAGUGGCCUUUAAUUCGUUUUUAAAUUAAGGACACUUGGACCACAAAAACGUAGCGAAAUUAAAAUUUUAUCUCUGGCGCAAAUAAAUCGCUCAACAAUGCAUUCCGUCUCGGCACCUUUAUUUUCAAUUUCCAACUAUAAAUAGCCGCAAAAUGCUGGACAAUUCACAUACACGUGUGUAUGGGUGUGCAACGUGGCACGGAAAGAUGGUCCUUACGGAUAUUUAUUCCAUUACCGAGGAAGUGACUUUUGUUUUCUGGUGGCCGUGGUGGUGGUGGUGGUGUUGCACAGCAGCGGCUGUCUCCGCUGUCCACAAUGAGCUAUUGCCCUGUGCCCGGCAGUGAAAGGAUGAGGAUGUGUGGCUCCUUUUCGGGUCUCCGUUUCUGGUUACCAUUCAUUUCACAUACGGAAAUUUACGAUUUACACGUAUGCCAAAUGCAAUGGCAACUGCAAAUGGGAAUUGGGAGCAGCAGGAUUGGGAGAACACGGCUGUCGCUGCUCUCGGCGAUAAUGGUCUGCCAGGAUGCGACUGUUUUCCUUGUUGUUUCGAGGGUGGCUCUGGUCUGCUGAAUGCCGUGCAAGAUGCAAUCGAUGGCAAAUAGCGUGGAAUGCAGUGGUACUCUCAAGUAUAUGCAGCACAUAUGCAGACGUGCUGAGAGCCCGAACAAUUAUUGCCCAGGCUGACAACAAUAAGGGAGAUGGCAUUGAAAUUCCAUUUCAUUGUUGUGCAGCAGCAAGUAGUAGCACCCGUUCCCCCAUCAUUUCCAUUCCCGUUCCCAUUCCCGAUCAUCAGUUUGUUUACACAAUCAGCUGUGUUUGCAUGGCCAAUGCGUUUCCCUUGUUCUUCUCUUCUUCAAAAGGAUGAAGCCAGGGUAACUCUUUUGCCUUGGCUGCAGAUUUUUGAUUUAUCGCAACGCACGUUGCAGGAUUCAAAUCGGGGUUGCUUGUGCUCUGCUGCUGUUUCAUGCAAAUUUCUAUUCUGUUUUCCUGGUUUUUUCUACGCAACCAGCUCUCCGAGACAAGCAAAACAGCCACAAAUUUUCGGUUCUAUGCUGGAGAACGACGUAAACCAGCAAUUAGACGGGGAAAGGGGAUACUGUUCAAUUUAAACCAAACUGAGGCAAUUCAGGCAGGAAAUUGGAGAAGUUUAAAACAGUUAGUAGACAAUCUUUGCAGAACAUUUAAGAAACAGCAUUAUCCUUUGAUUGACGAUUUUGGGAAGUAAUUAGAAUAAGGCAUUCUCUCUCUCUCUCUUGCUUGCAGUUAAUUCAAAACCGAACCGAACAUUACCGCAGGAAGCUUCAAGACCAAUGUCCUUGGUACUCCGACUCACAUACCACCCACCUGGCAAUACCUGGCUGUCAUUAACAAUCCGAAAGGUCUAUUUACCAUUUAAGUUCAAAAUGGGCAGCAAGGAGAAAGCAAUCCCCUGCAAAGUGCAAAAGUAGACGGAGAAAUGAGAGAGAAGAGCAAACACAACACACUCGGGAACGCCAGGAAGACAUGCAAAUUUUUGCUGCUUUUGUCUACUUGUCUGGGGGGAUAUGUUGUGCCCUCCGGACUCCUUGCUGCCAUGUGUGUGUGUGGGCAGGUUCCACCUUAUUCUUUUUCCCCCAAAGCUGUUUCUUGCUUUUUGGCCGAUGCCAUCAGGUGGACCCUUGGCUGGUGGCUCGUUUGCUGAUGCGUAUCAUGAUUGCGGCACUUGUAAACAAACAGCACUGGGGAACUUGGGCCACCGGGACAGUACAGUGACAGCUGAUGGACCGCAGAAUCAAUAUGCAUUUGAAUAUGCUGCUGGCUCAGCGAAGCUGCUGGCUCAUGUACCAUGGAUGCUCAUGUCCCUCCACCUCGUGGCAUGUGGAGUCCGCCAAACAGACAAACACACAACUUUUCACGCACGUGACCCCACGUCUCAGUUCUCGAAAUUUAUUUCGUCCCCGUGCACGGCCAGGGAAUUUCACAUUUGGGAGCCAUUUUGAAUAAGAAAGUAAACGAUAUACAUUCGUGGCGGGAAAGAGUAUCGCAGGUUGAUCAGAUCGUGAACGAAAUAGGAACUAUUACUCUUAAAAAAAUAUAGUAGGUUGGUUAUGAUGUUGGGUUAUUUUAAAAACAUUUUGACCAAAUAUAUUUAUUAUGCUUUAAAAGAACCUAGUUUACAGCAGAUAAAUUUAGUUCUUUUUACAUCUUACAUCUUUGAAGUAAUAAAGGUUUAUACAUGAAAUACAAGAUGGAUAGCAUAUACAAAAGUCGUUGCUGUGUGAUGGGGUGCACAGGACGCUGGCCAACAGCAUUUGCAUAAGAAGUGACUGAUGGCAGUCCGAUGGGAGACAGGUGGGAGAAUAUGUACAUAUAUCAAAAGGCAAACUUAAUUAUACCAGCUGCUGGCGAAAAACGAGGGGGAAAAAAAUAUAAAUCCCAAUACUGCAUGAGCAACAUCAGCAAAUCCCAAAUCCAAUAAAUAAGAACAGAUGGGGAAAUGCUUUCGCCAGGACACGGCAUGUGUGAAGAAGCCAAUGAAAAGUCAUAAUAAUAAGCCUGGGGAAUUGCGAACAAGAGCAACAAAUUAAGUGAAGCCCGCGGAGCUUAGACUUUGGUGUGAAUAAAUGUAAUUAAAAUGUGGAGUCACUGUUUUGUGAAUGGGAAAUGAGUGGUGAGUGUUGACACCUAUAUGUCAGGCCACAUGAUUAAUUAACGUUGAGAAAUAAUGACUUUGCCUAACAGUGAAUAAGAUAAGUUACACAAAUCAGUCAGUAUUCAAGUAACUGAAAUUCAUUAGCGUAGAAAUGGGAUUCAAUUACCGAGACACAAGUAAGCGUAAUCACGUAAUUAAAAUCAUUUACAUAUGUAAUGCAAUGCGAUGUAUGUAUGUUCAUUUACUGGAGUUCUAAAAAUGAUUUAUUUUGCUAAUUGAAGGCAAAUGUUUUUAGCAAGUUUGGUAACUAAUCUUUUUACUCAAGAGACUUCAAGCUAUUAGUGGUAACCAAAGAAGUUUACCUAAAGCCGCACUAGACAUGCAAUAUUAAACGCUAGGCUCGAGGAAAAGAUUUAUAUUAAAGCUAGCUAGAGCUAUCUAACAAAUUGCUUUGACACUAAGCGACGAACGAAACUAAUUAAAAUCCCAAACUUCACCUGGAUUCGCAGGACUAUGGGCCAACUAUUCUUAUACAAAAUCGCUGCCAUGCCAACCGACGAACGAAACGACAACAGCCCAACUUUCCCUUGAUGGGUGGGCGUGGCCAAUUUGAAGCCAAGUUUCUCAUACAAAAGUUCCGGGCUGCAAUAAUGCCAAAAACAAAUGAGAAACAGCUACAGCAAACGAAACCAGACCCAAAAACCCCAAAAACCAAAACCAGCGCGAAACUAUGUAAAGUUUUUAAUCAUGAUGCCUCUUUUGCAAAAUCAAAAUCAAGCAGCGGCAGUAGUUGUGGAAAAAACCAACUCGCGACAAGCCAAUUAAAAUUUACCACAAGGCGGCUUACACGUCGUAUGCGUAACAUUGCCGCACGCCCGCAAACGGAAAAGCGAUUUAUCCAAAGACCAUUUUGGGUUUAUUAAAAUUUCAUUUACCACAGAGGCAACUGGCGCGGCCAAAAGUUUGUUCUGCAUAUUUUCUCUCCAUUUUGGCAGUGUGCAUUUUUCCUUUUUUAGGCUUCGAAAAUUGGUUUUUCCGUCUAGCCUCAGCUAGAGUGUAAGUGUAGUAGUUUUUGGGGCUAUUUUUUAUUAUUUGGCGCUGGGAAACUUUUGGACCAAACUAAAGGUACUUCAAAUUUUGCCGUUAUGUCCUCGAAAAAAGUUUUGGGCGCUUUUGAAUAUCAGCGCCUGCGGUUGAAUGAAGCCUUUUGCCCCAGCACAUACUAAAUUCCAGUAACAAUAAAUGGGUAGCGAACUAUAUUCUUUAAAUUUAACAGCCAAGCAAAUUUAUGCCGGAAAAGAGAAAAAAUAGUUUUCUCAUUGUUCAGAAACUUGUUGAGAAGCACAAUUUGAAUUGCAUUAUAUAUUGACUUAAACUGGAUAGAGAAUCUCAAGGAAAUUAAUAAAUAUGGUAAUAAAAUGUGCAAGAGUUUGAAGAAAGGAAAAAGGCUAGUUUGGAAAACUUUGCAGUUGCCGAAAAGGUAAAGGAAAAUGAUAUUACUUUUUUUGUGUCAAACGGGGCGGAAAAUUUCAGGGACUAUUAAAAUUUCCAAUUGAAUGCCAAUUUUUUCUUUUAAGUAAUCUUCUAAAGUCAAUUUCAACUUAAGAGUUUAAUUAUAGAGCUCAGUGAAGGUGAAAUGGCUGCCAUUGUGAUCAAUAUAGACUUAGUUUUUGUGGUGAAUUGAUAUGCGUAAUCUGCCUUUUCUUGCUUGGCCAAUUUGUACUUUAUUCCAUUCUUUAUGGUCAAGCAAAUUCAAUUAAAUUAUCCUUUGCACAUAGCUGAAGUGAUUUCUUUGGGGCCCUUCCAGAAGUCUGUGCGUAUUGUCAAAGAGCAAGGAAUUUGCUGCCAAGCCAGUCGAGUGUACAUGUGUGCGAAACGCAACAACAAGUAACAAAAACAGAGUCAUAUCAAAUAAUGCACAUUUCCGCUUCCGCUGCGAGAAUGUUGAAUGUCGAGAGGCAGCAAGGAUAUGCCUUUGUCAUAAGUAGUGGCUCACUCAAUAUUGGCUCUGCCCACUUUUCGUCUUCUCGCAAGUGUUUCGAAAUAAACAACUACAGUGUAAAUUGCCGUCGGCAACGGCUUUUGACUUGACUUGCGACUAUAUAUGUGGGUGUAUCAUCGCUGAGCUCUGCCAUUUUCUUCAUCAAGACAAACAGUGUAUCCUUGGAAGACAUUAAGAAAUCAACUUUAGACGCCAACGCGCGCCUUUUGUUAUGGCCACACCGAAUGCUACAGCUACAGUCUGUGUGUUUUUGCACUUUGUUUGCUGUUUUAGUUUUUGUCCUUGGCGCGCUUUCCAUCCUCCCACCCAGCGUUGUUAUUGUAAAUUUUCCCCGACGAAAGGGACGAAAAUCUACAACAUAAACAUAAAGUUAUUAUAUAAAUAUGAAGUUACCAAAGGCAAAAAAGCGGCGUGGGUGAAAAUCGGCUAAACGGGAGGGAAAACUUUUCCACCUCGAAGGGAAGCGAACUUUCCUUCCCAUUUCUUUGGUUUGGGAUGCUAUUUUUUUCGUCCCGAUUCUGUGGGUUCUUGGUUUCUUCGGUUUUGGCCUGUCAUGAUGCAGAGGCUUUUGAAUUAUGCGGCAGAUUAAGUUCCAAGUGCAUGCCUUCUGAGUUUAUUUAGUCCCGGCGAAACCAAAGAAAUCCUUCGUCAAAAUGAUGAAUGGUUAUGAAAUUUUUGAAUUGUGUUGAAGGGUUCAUCAGCAGGACAAACAAAACGGGCUUAAGAAAUAAAUGGCAAAUCGCAUCGGAAUUACCUACUGGAUUACUGGCUUAAGUGUUAACCCAAUUAAAUGCACUGACUGUUCGUUGAAGCUCAUUUGUGCAGCUUUUUUUUGCACAAAAACCGAACAACAAUUUCAUUUUUUAUCGACCGACAGCUUUAGAGGGAAAAAAACGACGCCUUUUUCCCUUAACAAAACACUACAAAGUAUUCAAUUUAAACAAACCAAUUUGACAAUGCAGGAAAGAGGCAGACAGUAAUACCAGCAGCAACACCAGAAACAAUAGCGCCACCGACGCAGAACAGAUCUGUGUGCUGUACUAUAUCGCAUAGUUUCGGAUAAAAUCCAUGCAUAUGCGAUUGCGGACAGGGACCGCCAAAAGGGGUGCAGUGUGGAGCGGCUGUAAACGCGACCGCAGAAUAAACAAGAACAGAAGCUGCAACAAAAACGCCGACAGUGAGAGACAAAAGCAGGGCAGGCUAAAGCCAUUACUCAUACGUCAUGUGGCACCGGCAAAAGGGAAUUUACUCGCACAAAUACAAAAUUCAUAAAAAGCAACUAAAGCGCCAGGGCGCAAAAACAACACACGCACACACACACACACACACACACAUAUGUACGUAUGUUGGAUUGGCAAGUGGAUCAGAGAAGGAGUAAAAUCCACAUUCCCAUUCCCAUUCUGCAAUUCCCCCGGAGGGAUUUCGGUAUCGUGCAGUUUUCCCCAUGCGUUUUCUGGUUUUCCUUGGCUUGGCAUUAUUUCUAUUCCCCAAUUACCCGUUGCCAGGACAACUUCUUGAUUUUUGCACCCCUUGCAGCUCCUCCAUGUUUUCGGGGCUAUGCUUGGCGUCUGGGUUGCGUUUAACCACAAAUUAAAUUAUCUGACAAUUUACAACUGCGUGCAGCACCAAACCAUGCCACAACGCAUCGCUUUCCCCCGGGAGUGGAUA
rnacentral:misc_RNA from 13 species